GACGAACGCUGGCGGCGUGCUUAACACAUGCAAGUCGAACGGAAAGGCCCUGCUUUUGCGGCGUGCUCGAGUGGCGAACGGGUGAGUAACACGCGAGUAACCUGCCCUUGACUUUGGGAUAACUCCAGGAAACUGGGGUUAAUAUCGGACAGGAGCUCCUGCUGCAUGGUGGGGAUUGGAAAAUUUCGGCGGUUGGGGAUGGACUCGUGGCCUAUCAGCUUGUUGGCGGGGUAGUGGCUUACCAAGGCUUUGACGGGUAGCCGGACUGGGAGGGUGACCGGCCACAUAGGGACUGAGGUGCGGCCCGGACUGCUACGGGAGGCAGCAGUGGGGGAUAGUGCACGAUGGGCGGAGGCCUGAUGCAGCAACGCCGCGUGCGAGAUGACGGUCUUCGGGUUAGAACCCGCUUUCGCCUGUGACGAAGCGUGAGUGACGGUAAUGGGUAAAGAAGCACCGGCUAACUACGUG
rnacentral:rRNA from 1 species